rnacentral:rRNA from 1 species
UAGGGAAUAUUGCACAAUGGGCGAAAGCCUGAUGCAGCAACGCCGCGUGCGCGAUGACGGCCUUCGGGUUGUAAAGCGCUUUUCGGGGAGAUGAGGAAGGACAGUAUCCCCGGAAUAAGGCUCGGCUAACUACGUGCCAGCAGCCACGGUAACUCGUAGGAGCCAAGCGUUAUCCGAAUUCACUGGGCGUAAAGCGCGUGUAGGCGGCUUGGUAAGUUGGAUGUGAAAGCUCCUGGCUCAACUGGGAGAUGACGUUCAAUACUGCCGGGCUAGAGGGCGACAGAGGGAGGUGGAAUUCCCGGUGUAGUGGUGAAAUGCGUAGAUAUCGGGAGGAACACCAGUGGCGAAAGCGGCCUCCUGGGUCGCACCUGACGCUCAGACGCGAAAGCUAGGGGAGCGAACGG